UGCUCACUUCCACAGCACUAUACUAAAUUUGGAAAGAUACAGGGAAGAUCAGCAUGGCCCCCGUGCAAGGAUGACAUGCAAAUUUAGGAGGCGUUCCAUAUUUAA